GACGAUACGUAACAGAUUUUCAUAACAGCCGCUGGGCACGCAUAUACUUGAAGAGGCAGGGCGCUUCCGCAACAGCAACAACCCCUGAACGCGUUUCAAGAAAAACUGCUGAGAAAGUAACGGAUACAGUAAAAAUUGUACUUUCUCUUCACCAUGGUAUGACUUUUGAUAAAAGCCAGUAUCUAUGUGGUGCGCAAGAUCAGCUCUGCCCUAAAAGAGGGGGAGCAGAAAGAAGAGCCUGUGCUCACACCAUGUAGUCUGGCUAAAGGUAAGAAGGAGCGCAAUGCAUCAGCUGCUGCAUUAAUGGAAGCUCCAGAGCCUGAAGGUGCUGCUGGGUCAUCUGCUCCGACAGAGACAGCUGUACAGAAAUGUGGUUCAUGAAGUUAAAGGUCACGCAGAAACAAAUCUGAGCACAAUAGUGGCCUCCCCACUAAAUAAACAGCAUCACUAGACAAUAGCAUAUAUUGUGUUUUAGAUGCUGGUGCUCCAACAAGACCAUCUAAGUUUGUUUUGUCUCAGAGAUUCUGCAGUAACAAUUAUAUGACAACAGACCAGAUUUUCUCUGCGUGACCUUUUAUUUUUUAUGUGCCGACUCUUAUUACUUUAUUCUUUUUUCAUCUUUUUUCCAUUAGCUGUAGUUUGUGAAGGUCUGGUCAUCAACCUCUGCCUCAGGGGCGGUUCAGAUCUGAUGUUUAUCUGCAGCUUUUGUGUUUAUACUCAUCAACUAACUGAUUGUACAAUGAGUAAAAACCAAUUGUUAAAUCUGACAUUAUUUAUAAGAUCAUGUUUGUUAUGGCAAAAAUAAAAAGGUGAAACUUUGGUUCUAC
rnacentral:lncRNA from 1 species